CUUCACCGAGCCCAGCCACAGGGGCCGCUCGCGGUCCUUGCCGUAGGUGGUGAGCAGGGCCUGGGCCUC
rfam:Kutzneria albida DSM 43870, complete genome.